UCAGUGAGAAUGCUGGAUGCAAACUGCUCAACAACAGACCUGGGGUGUCACCUGAGCCUCAGAACCCUGCCACUUUGAUUGACAGCUGCAGUCCUGCCCUUCUGGCUCUUCAGGCUCCUCCCCUCUGACAGCAGGCUGCAGCAGGGCUUGGUAUUAGCAAAGAGACAUGUGUGUGAGCUGCGACUGCAACUCGGCCAACUCAGACACCUACAGCUGUCAAACCAAGAGAGUGUAAAUGCGAUGCUGCAGAUGGCAAGUCAGGAGCUGUUGAUGUUGAUGUGUGAUCGGCUGGCUCAGUCUGAGGAGGCAGCAUACAGAUGGAGAGCUGAGAUAGAGGGGGAGAGGACCCGCUACCUGGCUACAGAGGACAGAAUACUCAUGCACCUCAGUGAACUGGAGGACUAUGUGGACCAUUUACAAAGAGGCACUACCUCCCCUCCUGGCCAGCUCACUUUAAGAGAUGUGGAGGAGGGAGCAAUACGCCUACAGAGGGUUGGAGAAGAUCUGGC